AUGGGAAACAACCUUCCAAAUCUACAGUUCUUCCUUGCAGAUUUCAAUCAAUUCCAUGGUCCUAUUCCUUCCUCUUUGUGCAAUGCCUCUAUGAUUCAAAUGAUUCAGCUCCUUCAUAACUCCCUAACAGGAACAAUUCCCAGUUGCCUAGGAAUUCACUUGGCGAGCUUGUCCGCAUUAACCAUUGCCGAAAACCAUAUUCAAGCAACACAAGAUGCCGACUGGGGCUUCUUGUCCAGCCUAAGCAAUUGUAGUAAUUUGCAACUGUUGGAUUUGGGUAACAACAUGCUUGAAGGUGAAAUACCGAGUUCAGUAGGCACCUUCUCCACAAAUCUAGAGUUUCUGAGCAUGGGAUCUAACAGCAUAACGGGAAAGAUUCCUGGAGCAAUAGCAAACUUGACCAAUCUGCAAACACUUAUUCUGGAAGGUAAUCAUUUAGAGGGUACUAUUCCAACCUCUCUUGGCAAAAUGAAGGGACUAAAUUCGUUAAUACUUGGAACGAAUGAACUAUCAGGAUCCAUCCCUCUAACAUUUGGCAAUCUUACCCAACUAAGCCUGCUUCAUCUUGGUGACAACAUGCUUAGUGGAAGCAUACCUUCUAGUCUUAUAGGAUGUCCAUUACAAGAACUAGACCUUUCAAACAACAGCCUUGUUGGUCCAAUACCUAGGGACUUAUUCCUCAUAAACACAUUGUCCAUCUAUGUGAAUAUCCAAAAUAAUCUAUUAACCGGAGGUUUGCCUAUAGAAUUAGGUAACCUAAAGAAUAUUGGGGAACUUGAUUUCUCCGGUAAUCUAAUAUCUGGAGAGAUUCCGAUCUCACUUGGAGACUGUCAGUCAUUACAGUAUCUGAAUGUAUCCCGGAACAAGCUUCAAGGGACAAUUCCGUCGUCAAUCAUGCAGAUGAAAGCCCUACUGAUGCUUGAUCUUUCAUAUAAUAAUCUCUCAGGGAACAUUCCUGUGUUCCUCGGGGGCAUGAAAGGGCUAGCUGGUUUGAAUCUCUCAUUCAACAACUUGGAGGGUGAGGUUCCAACAGAUGGGAUCUUCAGCAACGCAGCUUCUGCCUCAGCCUCAGUUAUGGGAAAUGAUGGUCUGUGUAAUGGAAUCCCUCAACUGAAACUGCCACACUGUUCCAACCUCACCACCAAGAAACCAACUCAGAAGCUGGCCAUAAUAUUCUCCAUAUGUGGUGCAGUUGUAUUUAUUGCAUUGGUAUUUGCACUGUCGACAUUCUACAGUAAGAGCAGGAAGAUGAAAGCAAACAUGCAGACAUCAUCCAUCGACGAGCAAUAUUUGAGGGUUUCUUAUGCUGAACUAGUCACUGCAACUAAUGGUUUUGCUUCAGAGAACCUCCUUGGUGCAGGACGCUUCGGCUCGGUGUACAAGGGAACAAUGAGGAUAAAUGACCAGCAGGUGGUGAUUGCUGUGAAGGUGCUCAACCUCACGCAGCGAGGUGCAUCUCAAAGUUUUGUUGCAGAAUGUGAGACCCUGAAAUGCGUUCGACAUAGGAAUCUUAUGAAGAUAUUAACUGUGUGCUCGAGCAUUGAUUUUCAAAGCUGUGACUUCAAGGCCCUUGUGUACGAAUACUUACCAAAUGGAAAUUUAGAUGGAUGGGUACACCACCAUCCCAUGGAAGAUGGUGAAAAUAGGACACUACAUCUCCGUUUGAGGCUGCAGAUUGCAAUUGAUGUAGCAUCAUCACUCGAAUACCUCCAUCACCACAAGCCAAUCCCAAUUAUUCACUGUGAUCUUAAGCCAAGCAAUGUUCUCCUCGAUGGUGAAAUGGUUGCUCAUGUUGGUGAUUUCGGGCUUGCAAGGUUUCUACAUCAGGACUCGGAGAAAUCAACUGGUUGGGCAUCAAUGAGAGGCACAAUCGGCUAUGCUGCUCCAGAGUACGGACUAGGCAACGAAGUUUCAAUCCAUGGUGAUGUCUACAGCUACGGGAUAUUAUUGCUGGAGAUGUUCACUGGGAAAAGGCCAACGGACAGUGAAUUUGGAGAAUCCUUUGGCCUUCACAAGUAUGUGCAAAUGUCAUUGCCAGACAGGGCAGCAGAGGUCAUAGACCAAUACUUACUAGCAGAGAUAGAAGAUGGCGAAGAAAGCACCACAAACUCUGGCAGCACCAUGGAUCUCAGAAUUGCUUGCAUCACCUCCGCUUUGCACGUUGGAAUUUCGUGUUCACAGGAGACACCGACAAAUCGCAUCGAAAUCGGGGAAGCUCUGAAAGAGUUGCAGAUAAUAAGAGGCAGAUUUGACAAGGGGUUGCGCGCGGAAAUAGAACCCAUAAACUAA
rnacentral:rRNA from 1 species